AAAAAAGUCUUUUAAAAAAACGAGCCUUAGAGUGGUCUUUGGCUAUUUUUUUUA
rnacentral:tRNA from 1 species